ACACAGAGGCGUCGGUGGACACUUGGGGCUUGGUACCGGCAGGACCAGUAGGGCUCACCUUCUCCAUGUUGACGGUGGAUCCCUUACUAGCAGCAGCAGCGUCAGCUUCUGCCUUCGUCUGAGGGAUGGGGUCAUUUUGGACGAAGAAGCCAUCCAGUGAGUCCACCAUGUCCUCUGACAUAUCCUCCGGUUCUGCUCCUGGUUUCGCUGGCCCGGUAGGUUUAUUACCAGGAGGCUUGGAGCCCGCUGGCGUCUCAGUCUUACCCUGUGGUGGUUGUGUGUCUUUACUAGUGUCUGGUUUAGGCUGUGGGCCUAUAUGGGGAACUAGGGGACCAGGUGGUCUUUCAAAGCAGCCAGGGGGGUUUUGUCUCGGGGGGGGCUGGUCGAACCGGGACCCCUGCUGCCCAAAGCGAGGCCCUGGUCCUCUGGGGCCAGGCUGGUUGAACCUCUGGCGCUGCUCGUUGAACCUGGGGCCUGGUGGAGCAUUAAACCUCUGCUGUUGACCGGAUUGCUGCUGCUGGUCAAACAGCGGGCCAUUCCCUCUCGGACCAUCAAACCUUGAAAAGAAAAUCACAUGAAUGUCUGUCAACAGUCUGUUUUUGGAAAUUGCAAUGUUUUUUUUGUGUGUUUUUUUAUAACCAUUGUCCAAAUCCACAAUUAUUUUCAUUUAUUAAUUUAACCUCCAGAUUGUCAUGUUCAGGUACAAACAACAUCUCUAUGGUCAAGAGGUUAGCCCCCAAGUGAAACACAAUCACACCGUUUCAAUAUCAUUAUGCCAUUAUACACAAGUUACCUUGGUCCUCUGGGGCUUUGGAAGGGUGGAGGCUGUCCUGGUGGUGGAACUGGUGAUCUGGCCACACCUCUUCCUCCUGGGCCCGCCCCUCUCCCUCCUGGGCCCGCCCCUCUCCCUCCUGGGCCCGCCCCUCUCCCUGGAGUUCCAGACAGGUUGUACUGCUCUGCCUGAGGCCCUUGGUGUGGUUUUCCUGUUGGGGUUCCCAUGCGUUGGGCGUUUGAGGGGCCUUGCUGCCCUGGUCGAGGGCCCUGCAACAUGGAUCCAGAGGUGGACGAGGGCUGGCUACCUGGCUGGGACGGCACGGACGGGCUCACCAUGUGACCUUGUUGAAUCUGCGAGUCCGGUCCAGAUUGUGGGUACUGACCAUAUUCGCUGCCGACGCCACCUCCGUACUGUUGCUGCGUGGCUCGCAGGGUGGUGACCCUCUCCUGCAACGAAUCAAUCAAAUAUAUUUUUAUUUAUUUUACCUUUAUUUAACUAGGCAAGUCAGUUAAGAACAA
rnacentral:lncRNA from 13 species